rnacentral:tRNA from 1 species
GGGGCUGUGGCUCAUCGGUAGAGCACGCUUCUCGAGUGUGUGAGGCCCUGGGUUCAAACCUCAGCGCCACA